rnacentral:rRNA from 1 species
AUGAAGGAGGUUCGGCACAGAGUCCAGAGCGUGAACAGGCCUUCACAUUGGCAGCCUCUAGCCGCUACUUGUGUCAAGAUCAACGUUGAUGCCGCUGCACCGAGGAAUGCCAGAUAUGGGGCGGUCGGGGCUAUAUGUAGAAGUUCAGAAGGAAUGUUCCUGGGAGCGUCGGUGCUGGUGGUGAGGCAUGUUACCGAUCCACAGACCCUUGAAGCCAUCGCAAUCAGGGAAGGAUUAGCGCUGGCUGACGAUCUCUACCAGAGGCGAGUUCAUGUUGCUUCGGACUACAAGAAUGUGGUGAACGAUCUGAAGAAGGAGAAUGCAUCAUCAUAUGGAGCGAUUGCACAUGAAAUUAUAAACCACUCUUUAGCUUUUGAUUUUUGUAAGUUCAGUCAUGAGUUUAGAAGCUCUAAUUUUGAAGCUCACAACCUAGCGUAGCAUGCUCUGUCGCUCGGGAUUGACCGCCGUGUGUGGUUGGGUCAACCUGGGGAUCUUACUUUCGUUUCUGUAAACAUUGUGACAACUUAA